rnacentral:rRNA from 3 species
UACGUAGGUGGCAAGCGUUGUCCGGAUUUACUGGGUGUAAAGGGCGCGUAGGCGGGAUAGCAAGUCAGAUGUGAAAUCUAUGGGCUUAACCCAUAAACUGCAUUUGAAACUGUUAUUCUUGAGUAUCGGAGAGGCAGGCGGAAUUCCUAGUGUAGCGGUGAAAUGCGUAGAUAUUAGGAGGAACACCAGUGGCGAAGGCGGCCUGCUGGACGACAACUGACGCUGAGGCGCGAAAGCGUGGGGAGCAAACAGG